GCCAUUGAAGGAGACAGCAGAUUCAGCUGGAAUGGCAUUUUGUUGUGUGAUCAACAUUCAGAGGCCAUAAUUCUCUGAAUCUGUACACCUCACGGUGACUGUCUGUUCGUUGUUUGUUCACUUGUUUGUUUGUUUAAUUCAUGUUUUCUAAUCAUUUGUUAGUUUUUAUUCAUGUUUUAUUGUCAUUGUUUAUACAUGUAUUAGUAAUUUCCAAGUUUAUAUGAAUUGAACAUUAGGAUGCUGUUGUUCAAGACGAGGGACUUGUUGGAUUCGACAGUUUGAACAUUGAGACAUUAAAGACAUGACAGAUUAGACACAUAGUAUAUCAAGGAGUAAAAGAGACUGGGUCUCUGUAGAAAGACAGAUAGCUGUGGAAUGUGUUGGGGGACGAGAGGAGUGUGAAACAGGGGAGACAGAUGGACAUCUGUGGAUUAGGUGAAGGAGAGGUUGAGGUCAGGAGGUGAGGACAGCGAUGUGUUGAUACAGGGGAGACAGAUGGACAUCUGUGGAUUAGGUGAAGGAGGGGUUGAGGUCAGGAGGUGAGGACAGCAACGUGUUGAUACAGGGAGACAGAUGGACAUCUGUGGAUUAGGUGGAGGAGGGGUUGAGGUCAGGAGGUGAGGACAGUGAUGUGUUGAUACAGGGAGACAGAUGGACAUCUGUGGAUUACGUGAAGGAGGGGUUGAGGUCAGGAGGUGAGGACAGCAACGUGUUGAUACAGGGGAGACAGAUGGACAUCUGUGGAUUAGGUGAAGGAGGGGUUGAGGUCAGGAGGUGAGGAAAGGUCACCUGAAGGGAGGAAUAAAGGUUUGGUUUCCUGUUUCCCUUUUUUCUCUCUUCCUGUAGAACCAUAAAAUAAAAGGAUUGAAGAGAAGGAGGAGUGUCUUAAUAAGUGGGAUAUAAAUAUCUGGAAGGGACAAAUG